rnacentral:sRNA from 1 species
CUGACUAUAGUCAAUCUAGAACUAAUACGAUCGGGUUUAAGUUUCCGAAACAUAAUCUCUACCUUUUUAGUGCAUUUAAACAAAAUGCCUUGCUACUGCUGCAUAAAAGGAUGCUCAAAUACUUCAAUAAACAAGAAAGGAAUGGGAUUUUUUAACAUUCCUAAAGUCGAUAACUUGGCAAGGCUCUAACUAGACUCUAGCGUUGAAGAGAUUACUUCGAAAAGACUUCUCUCUUGGCUGAAAGGAAUCAACAGAAAGGGAUUCACCCCAAAAUAUGUUGAAAGAAAACGUUGGCUUAAAGUUUGUGGAAAUCAUUUUAGAAAAGGUAAACAUGCCUAUGUGCAAAUGGUAAAUGAUCCUGAUUGGGUACCAAGUCUUCACCUGGGAUAUGAUAAAAAACAAGAUGAGUCAAGAAGACUUCAGCAGAGAAAAAGCAAAAAAGCAACAGGAACUAUUACACUACCAUCAGUACAGCCUUCUUCUAAGUCAGGCAACACUACCUCUGAAGAAGUCAGUAACUUGCACACAGAAGAACAAGAAACUAAGUCUGCCACAAAAGACACAGAAAAAUGCAUACAAACUGAUUUGACUGUCAAUUUUAUCUCAGUUUAGAAAAUGAGGUACAUACUUUAGCACAAGAUUUGAUAUAUGCCAAGAGUGAAAUUGAAAAAUACAUAUUUGAUGAAAAAUACUUCAAAAUAAACGAGGAAAAAGUUAAAUAUUACACUGGACUUCCAACAUUUAACCUGCUAAAGAAUGUUUAUGUUUAUUUAGAGCCAGCAAUCACAAUGACAAGCCGGAGCUGUCUUAUAAAUUUCAACAAUUUCUUAUUGUUCUGUUCAAACUGAAGUUAAGUUUGCCUUUUAGAGUAUUAGCAGAUAUGUUCAAAAUUCACCCUACAACUGCAUCUAAGAUAUUCACAAAAGUUUUGGAUGUUAUGUAUGUCAACAUGUCCGAUUUGAUUUUCUGGCCCGAUAAGGAGAGUCUCAGAAAGACAAUGCCGAAAUAAUUCAUCCGUACAUUUGGCAGGAAAGUGACAGUAAUAAUUGACUGUUUUGAAAUUUUUAUUGAGAGACCUAGCAGUGUUAAAGCACAGGCACAAACAUAUUCUUCUUAUAAACACAACAACACAGUGAAAUAUCUGA